rnacentral:rRNA from 1 species
CAUAGGUUAAUGAGGCGAACCGGGGGAACUGAAACAUCUAAGUACCCCGAGGAAAAGAAAUCAACCGAGAUUCCCCCAGUAGCGGCGAGCGAACGGGGAGGAGCCCAGAGCCUGAAUCAGUGUGUGUGUUAGUGGAAGCGUCUGGAAAGGCGCGCGAUACAGGGUGACAGCCCCGUACACAAAAAUGCACAUGCUGUGAGCUCGAUGAGUAGGGCGGGACACGUGGUAUCCUGUCUGAAUAUGGGGGGACCAUCCUCCAAGGCUAAAUACUCCUGACUGACCGAUAGUGAACCAGUACCGUGAGGGAAAGGCGAAAAGAACCCCGGCGAGGGGAGUGAAAAAGAACCUGAAACCGUGUACGUACAAGCAGUGGGAGCCUCUUAAUGGGGUGACUGCGUACCUUUUGUAUAAUGGGUCAGCGACUUAUAUUCUGUAGCAAGGUUAACCGAAUAGGGGAGCCGAAGGGAAACCGAGUCUUAACUGGGCGUUAAGUUGCAGGGUAUGGACCCGAAACCCGGUGAUCUAGCCAUGGGCAGGUUGAAGGUUGGGUAACACUAACUGGAGGACCGAACCGACUAAUGUUGAAAAAUUAGCGGAUGACUUGUGGCUGGGGGUGAAAGGCCAAUCAAACCGGGAGAUAGCUGGUUCUCCCCGAAAGCUAUUUAGGUAGCGCCUCGUGAAUUCAUCUCCGGGGGUAGAGCACUGUUUCGGCAAGGGGGUCAUCCCGACUUACCAACCCGAUGCAAACUGCGAAUACCGGAGAAUGUUAUCACGGGAGACACACGGCGGGUGCUAACGUCCGUCGUGAAGAGGGAAACAACCCAGACCGCCAGCUAAGGUCCCAAAGUCAUGGUUAAGUGGGAAACGAUGUGGGAAGGCCCAGACAGCCAGGAUGUUGGCUUAGAAGCAGCCAUCAUUUAAAGAAAGCGUAAUAGCUCACUGGUCGAGUCGGCCUGCGCGGAAGAUGUAACGGGGCUAAACCAUGCACCGAAGCUGCGGCAGCGACACUAUGUGUUGUUGGGUAGGGGAGCGUUCUGUAAGCCUGUGAAGGUGGCCUGUGAGGGUUGCUGGAGGUAUCAGAAGUGCGAAUGCUGACAUAAGUAACGAUAAAGCGGGUGAAAAGCCCGCUCGCCGGAAGACCAAGGGUUCCUGUCCAACGUUAAUCGGGGCAGGGUGAGUCGACCCCUAAGGCGAGGCCGAAAGGCGUAGUCGAUGGGAAACAGGUUAAUAUUCCUGUACUUGGUGUUACUGCGAAGGGGGGACGGAGAAGGCUAUGUUGGCCGGGCGACGGUUGUCCCGGUUUAAGCGUGUAGGCUGGUUUUCCAGGCAAAUCCGGAAAACCAAGGCUGAGGCGUGAUGACGAGGCACUACGGUGCUGAAGUGACAAAUGCCCUGCUUCCAGGAAAAGCCUCUAAGCAUCAGGUAACAUCAAAUCGUACCCCAAACCGACACAGGUGGUCAGGUAGAGAAUACCAAGGCGCUUGAGAGAACUCGGGUGAAGGAACUAGGCAAAAUGGUGCCGUAACUUCGGGAGAAGGCACGCUGAUAUGUAGGUGAAGCGACUUGCUCGUGGAGCUGAAAUCAGUCGAAGAUACCAGCUGGCUGCAACUGUUUAUUAAAAACACAGCACUGUGCAAACACGAAAGUGGACGUAUACGGUGUGACGCCUGCCCGGUGCCGGAAGGUUAAUUGAUGGGGUUAGCGGUAACGCGAAGCUCUUGAUCGAAGCCCCGGUAAACGGCGGCCGUAACUAUAACGGUCCUAAGGUAGCGAAAUUCCUUGUCGGGUAAGUUCCGACCUGCACGAAUGGCGUAAUGAUGGCCAGGCUGUCUCCACCCGAGACUCAGUGAAAUUGAACUCGCUGUGAAGAUGCAGUGUACCCGCGGCAAGACGGAAAGACCCCGUGAACCUUUACUAUAGCUUGACACUGAACAUUGAGCCUUGAUGUGUAGGAUAGGUGGGAGGCUUUGAAGUGUGGACGCCAGUCUGCAUGGAGCCGACCUUGAAAUACCACCCUUUAAUGUUUGAUGUUCUAACGUUGGCCCCUAAUCGGGGUUGCGGACAGUGUCUGGUGGGUAGUUUGACUGGGGCGGUCUCCUCCUAAAGAGUAACGGAGGAGCACGAAGGUUGGCUAAUCCUGGUCGGACAUCAGGAGGUUAGUGCAAUGGCAUAAGCCAGCUUGACUGCGAGCGUGACGGCGCGAGCAGGUGCGAAAGCAGGUCAUAGUGAUCCGGUGGUUCUGAAUGGAAGGGCCAUCGCUCAACGGAUAAAAGGUACUCCGGGGAUAACAGGCUGAUACCGCCCAAGAGUUCAUAUCGACGGCGGUGUUUGGCACCUCGAUGUCGGCUCAUCACAUCCUGGGGCUGAAGUAGGUCCCAAGGGUAUGGCUGUUCGCCAUUUAAAGUGGUACGCGAGCUGGGUUUAGAACGUCGUGAGACAGUUCGGUCCCUAUCUGCCGUGGGCGCUGGAGAACUGAGGGGGGCUGCUCCUAGU